AGCGAACGCUGGCGGCAGGCUUAACACAUGCAAGUCGAACGCCCGUAGCAAUACGGGAGUGGCAGACGGGUGUGUAACGCGUGGGAACAUGCCCUUUGGUUCGGAAUAACUCAGGGAAACUUGAGCUAAUACCGGAUAAGCCCGAGAGGGGAAAGAUUUAUCGCCGAAGGAUUGGCCCGCGUCCGAUUAGCUGGUUGGUGAGGUAAUGGCUCACCAAGGCGACGAUCGGUAGCUGGUCUGAGAGGAUGAUCAGCCACACUGGGACUGAGACACGGCCCAGACUCCUACGAGAGGCAGCAGUGGGGAAUGUUGGACAAUGGGGGCAACCCUGAUCCAGCCAUGCCGCGUGAGUGAUGAAGGCCCUAGGGUUGUAAAGCUCUUUCGGCGGGGACGAUAAUGACGGUACCCGCAGAAGAAGCCCCGGCUAACUUCGUGCCAGCCGCCGCCGUAACAC
rnacentral:rRNA from 1 species